CCUACGGGAGGCAGCAGUGGGGAAUAUUGGACAAUGGGGGGAACCCUGAUCCAGCCAUGCCGCGUGUGUGAAGAAGGCCCUCGGGUUGUAAAGCACUUUCAGUGAGGAAGAACGCCUGGUGGUUAAUACCCAUCAGGAAAGACAUCACUCACAGAAGAAGCACCGGCUAACUCCGUGCCAGCAGCCGCGGUAAUACAGAGGGUGCGAGCGUUAAUCGGAAUUACUGGGCGUAAAGCGCGCGUAGGUGGCUUGAUAAGCCGGUUGUGAAAGCCCCGGGCUCAACCUGGGAACGGCAUCCGGAACUGUCAAGCUAGAGUGCAGGAGAGGAAGGUAGAAUUCCCGGUGUAGCGGUGAAAUGCGUAGAGAUCGGGAGGAAUACCAGUGGCGAAGGCGGCCUUCUGGACUGACACUGACACUGAGGUGCGAAAGCGUGGGUAGCAAACAGGAUUAGAUACCCCGGUAGUC
rnacentral:rRNA from 1 species